UAAAAUAUCUAAUUUUAUUCAAUCUUUUUAUUGCCUUGUCCUCCAAAACCAAGUGUAUUUAAAUAUUCCAGAAUAUUUCUUUCAUUGACUAUGGAAAACUUUGAUAUAAAGCUAUAUAAUUUUGGUUUUUGUUUAGUAUUAUUCUUCUAGAUAUGUUCUAGUUGUUAACUAGCCUGUUUUGUGACAUGAGUAAGUAGGAUUAUUAAGCAUGCUUGAGAAGUUAUAUAUAUAUAUUUAUAUAUUUAUAUAUUUAUAUAUAUUUAUAUAUAUUUAUAUAUAUAUUUAUAUAUAUUUUUAUAUAUAUUUAUAUAUAUUUAUAUAUAUAUUUAUAUAUAUUUAUAUAUAUUUAUAUAUAUAUUUAUAUAUAUUUACAUAUAUUUAUAUAUUUACAUAUAUUUAUAUAUAUUUAUAUAUAUUUAUAUAUGUUUAUAUAUAUUUAUAUAUGUAUUUAUAUAUAUAAAUAUAUAUAUGAGGGGGCUUCAAAAUAUUCAUGGAAACAUUGAGUUAAAAGCUACAAAUAAAAAAUAUAAAUUUUAUUUCUCAGAGUAAGCUCCAUCAGGGUCAAGACACUUUUGUAAGCAAUGAUACCAGACAUUUAUUCCAUCCCUAAAGAACAGGGUCUUGGGAAUUUCACCACAUCAGUGCCAUCUUUUUAACAUUAUUAACUGAAGAAAAAUGAGUGCUCUGACAGAUUUUUUUAAGAUUAGGAAACAAAAGUCCAAAUGAGCCAAAUCAGGACAGUAAGGUGGAUGCCUAGUGACAUUCCACUGAAACUCUGGCAAAAUUGCCCUUGUUUGAUGAGAAGAAUGAGCAGAAGCAUUGUCAUGGUGGAGAGGGAGUCUGGUAUAGCUUUCCUGGACAUUUUUCUGCUAAACCUUUGGCUAGCUUUCCCCAAACACUCUCAUAAUAAGUAGAUGUUAUCAUUCUUUGGCCUUUCAGAAAGUUAACAAGCAAAAAGACUUAAGCAUCCCAAAAAACUGUUGCCAUGACCUUAGCUCUUGACUGCUUGGCUUUUCUUUGACUGCACCACAUCCCCUUCUUGGUAGCCAUUACUUUGAUUGUGCUUUGUCUUCAGGAUCAUACCAGUAAAGCUGUGUUUCAUCUCCUAUCACAAUCCUUCAAAGAAAAGCUUUAAGACCUUGAUCUCACUUGUGUAAAAUUUCCACUGAAAGCUCUGCUCUUGUCUGCAGCUCAUCUGAGUGCAAUGAUUUUGGCACCUAUAGAGUGGAAAGUUUGCUCAACUUUAAUUUUGCAGUCAGAAUUGUGUAAGCUGAACCAGUUGGAAUGUCUGUGGCGUUGGCUAUGGUUUGUACUGUUAAUCAUCAGUACUCUUCAAUUAGGGCACAAACAAGAUUUUUUUUUUCCUUGCAAAUUGAUGUAGUUUGUCUUCUAUAGUGGGCUUCAUCUUCAACAUCAUCUCAUCUUUUCUUAAAAUAAAUUAUUCAUUUGUAAACUGCCAAUUUCUUUGGGGCAUUGCCCCCACUAACAUUUUGUAAAGCAGCAAUGAUUUCCUGAUUUUCCCACCCAAACUUCCCCAUAAAUUUGAUGUUCUUGCUUUAAUUUUAGCAGAAUUGACAUUGCUCUGAUAAGGGCUCUUUUCAAACUGAUUUCUUAUCCUUUUUUGUGCCUCAAAAUAGAUCCUGUUCAGACAUGUUACAAAUUAGUACAAGUUUAUUUUGAUAUAAGAAAAAAUUGAAAUCCAUGUAUAGUUUUUCCAUAAUAUGUAUUUUCCAUGAACUUUUUGAAAUUCUUCGUAUUUGCUGAGAUGAUAUUGCUAAGGAGUUAUAUAAUAUAAAAAGUUACAUGUUUGUGUGUUUAUAUAUGUUGCAUAUGUUAUAUAUAUUCAAAUUAUCAUUGUAUCUGAUACAAGUAAACAUAUUAAUUUGAACCUAACUCUAUUCAAGUUUGUAACUCUCUAAAUACUGGUAAGGAUGAUUUAUCUUUAUGUUAUGUUUAUAUAUUGGUUGCUAAGCAAACGCCAUAAAGACUUUAAAAGAACAGAUUACUUUUAAAUGUAAACAUCCAUUUAUAUUUGAAAAAAGACAUAAGCUUUAAUUGACAAGCUUUGUAAGCCUAAUUGUGUCAUUAAAAACUCAGUAGAAAUAAAGGUAUCAUAUGUACUUUAUUCAUUUAUG
rnacentral:lncRNA from 1 species